rnacentral:rRNA from 1 species
GACGAACGCUGGCGGCGUGCCUAAUACAUGCAAGUUGAGCGCUGAAGGUUGGUACUUGUACCCACUGGAUGAGCAGCGAACGGGUGAGUAACGCGUGGGGAAUCUGCCUUUGAGCGGGGGACAACAUUUGGAAACGAAUGCUAAUACCGCAUAAAAACUUUAAACACAAGUUUUAAGUUUGAAAGAUGCAAUUGCAUCACUCAAAGAUGAUCCCGCGUUGUAUUAGCUAGUUGGUGAGGUAAAGGCUCACCAAGGCGAUGAUACAUAGCCGACCUGAGAGGGUGAUCGGCCACAUUGGGACUGAGACACGGCCCAAACUCCUACGGGAGGCAGCAGUAGGGAAUCUUCGGCAAUGGACGAAAGUCUGACCGAGCAACGCCGCGUGAGUGAAGAAGGGUUUCGGAUCGUAGAACUCUGUUGGUAGAGAAGAACGUUGGUGAGAGUGGAAAGCUCAUCAAGUGACGGUAACUACCCAGAAAGGGACGGCUAACUACGUG